CCCCUCUCCCCUGUUUCUUUUCUUCUUCCAUGCCCAAUCUCUUUCCCCUAUCUCUUUUCUUUUGUCUUUUCUUCCCAUUUUCUCUCUCUCAGCUCCACUGCUCUAGCCGACCCUCUCCAUUUCUCCCUCUCUUUCUCUCUUCACACACAGCAACCCGUGAGCCCACGAGCAACCGAACGUAAGCUGGGUUCGGUGGGUCUACCCAUUUUCUCCGGUGGUUUUCUGCAGAAAUUCGUAUGUGGGUUUAUACGUGAUUGCUUCCAAGCCAAUGGAACUUCUACAUGAUGUUUCUCUGGCUGCAGGUACUCCGGUCGUAGUGAUGGUGUUAUAGAUGUGCACGUGAGAUAUUAUGACCGAAGCUCGCCGCGACGGUCGUAAUUGCAGGACCAUGGGUGUCUUCAGUUUUAUAGGUUUUGUUAUGGCUUGUGACGCUUAUGUCACCUAAUCUAUGUUAGGCCAUUUUUGUUAUGUAUUUAUUAUAUUGAGGAAAAACUUAAACAUAUAGAUGUUAAAUGGCUCUUGUUGUAAUUAAUUGGUGAUAGAUGUUUGAGAUA